AGCAUUCUUCGCAUCUCUAUCGGUGCGGCGGAGAUUCCCGUUCACAUUCCCGGCCGGCCCCAAAACACAAGAAUAACUUUACACAGUUUGCAAAAAAACUAUACAAACCCACACAAGAACAAAACAAAGGGGCCGAACUUAAAUGUUGAUAUAAAUAAAGCGGACGUUAAGUUCGACGCUGCUGCAGCAACAGGGUGCUUUCACUUUGUCCACUGACUCAGUCUGACAUAGCACGAAAAUCUUUGACAUUUUUCACAUUUUUGCUAAAGAAGCUGACCUCGCGCGCCCGUGCUCUGCAUUGGCUACGCCGCACAUUUCGGAGCGGAGCUCAAAUAUAGCGCGGAGAGACUUGUUGCUCGCGUAUCUUUGGCGUUUAUUCACCAGCUUCGGUUCCCAUCUCACCCGAUUCACCCUAGUCUGCUCCAGGCUUCGGCUUGGAGGUCCCAAUCGCCGCCAUUGAUCCCAGCAGCUGGAGU